rnacentral:rRNA from 1 species
AACGACCGCUGGCGGCAGGCUUAACACAUGCAAGUCGAGCGCCCCGCAAGGGGAGCGGCAGACGGGUGAGUAACGCGUGGGAACGUACCUUUUGGUUCGGAACAACUCCGGGAAACUGGAGCUAAUACCGGAUAAGCCCUAACGGGGAAAGAUUUAUCGCCGAAAGAUCGGCCCGCGUCUGAUUAGCUAGUUGGUGAGGUAACGGCUCACCAAGGCGACGAUCAGUAGCUGGUCUGAGAGGAUGAUCAGCCACACUGGGACUGAGACACGGCCCAGACUCCUACGGGAGGCAGCAGUGGGGAAUAUUGGACAAUGGGCGCAAGCCUGAUCCAGCCAUGCCGCGUGAGUGAUGAAGGCCUUAGGGUUGUAAAGCUCUUUUGUCCGGGAAGAUAAUGACUGUACCGGAAGAAUAAGCCCCGGCUAACUUCGUG